GACAGAGGAGCCAAGCGUUGUCCGGAAUGACUGGGCGUAAAGCGCACGCAGGCGGUCGCGCGCGUGGGGUGUGAAAACUGGCGGCUUAACUGCCAGAGGCCAUCCCAUACGGCGCAACUCGAGCCAUGCAGAGGUCCACGGAAUUGCCGGUGUAGCGGUGAAAUGCGUAGAUAUCGGGAAGAACACCAAAGGCGAAAGCGCUCUACUGGGCCAUAACUGACACUGAGGGACGAAAGCUAGGGGAGCGAAAGGG
rnacentral:rRNA from 1 species